UAAAGCCCUUCUUCGAAUCCAUAGCAGC
rnacentral:sRNA from 1 species